rnacentral:rRNA from 1 species
GAUGAACGCUGGCGGCGUGCCUAAUACAUGCAAGUCGAGCGAACAGACGAGGAUCUUGCUCCUCUGACGUUAGCGGCGGACGGGUGAGUAACACGUGGAUAACCUACCUAUAAGACUGGGAUAACUUCGGGAAACCGGAGCUAAUACCGGAUAAUAUAUUGAACCGCAUGGUUCAAUAGUGAAAGACGGUUUUGCUGUCACUUAUAGAUGUAUCCGCGCCGCAUUAGCGAGUUGGUAAGGUAACGGCUUACCAAGGCAACGAUGCGUAGCCGACCUGAGAGGGUGAUCGGCCACACUGGAACUGAGACACGGUCCAGACUCCUACGGGAGGCAGCAGUAGGGAAUCUUCCGCAAUGGGCGAAAGCCUGACGGAGCAACGCCGCGUGAGUGAUGAAGGUCUUCGGAUCGUAAAACUCUGUUAUUAGGGAAGAACAAAUGUGUAAGUAACUAUGCACGUCUUGACGGUACCUAAUCAGAAAGCCACGGCUAACUACGUG